rnacentral:rRNA from 1 species
UAUGGAGGAUCCGAGCGUUAUCCGGAUUUAUUGGGUUUAAAGGGUGCGCAGGCGGGAGAUUAAGUCGGCGGUGAAAUUUUGCAGCUCAACUGUAAAAGUGCCUUCGAGACUGGUUUCCUUGAGUGUAGAUGAAGUAGGCGGAAUUUGUGGUGUAGCGGUGAAAUGCAUAGAUAUCACGAGGAACUCCGAUUGCGCAGGCAGCUUACUAAACUACUACUGACGCUCAGGCACGAAGGCGUGGGGAUCAAACAGGAUUAGAUA